rnacentral:rRNA from 1 species
AACGAACGCUGGCGGCAUGCCUAACACAUGCAAGUCGAACGAAGGCUUCGGCCUUAGUGGCGCACGGGUGCGUAACGCGUGGGAAUCUGCCCUUGGGUUCGGAAUAACAGUGGGAAACCGCUGCUAAUACCGGAUGAUGACGUAAGUCCAAAGAUUUAUCGCCCAAGGAUGAGCCCGCGUAGGAUUAGCUAGUUGGUGGGGUAAUGGCCCACCAAGGCGACGAUCCUUAGCUGGUCUGAGAGGAUGAUCAGCCACACUGGGACUGAGACACGGCCCAGACUCCUACGGGAGGCAGCAGUGGGGAAUAUUGGACAAUGGGCGAAAGCCUGAUCCAGCAAUGCCGCGUGAGUGAUGAAGGCCUUAGGGUUGUAAAGCUCUUUUACCAGGGAUGAUAAUGACAGUACCUGGAGAAUAAGCUCCGGCUAACUCCGUGCCAGCCGCCGCCGUAA